rnacentral:tRNA from 1 species
GGUAUAGCUCAGUGGUACAGUGCGUGCCUAGCAUGCAUGAGGUCCUGGGUUCAAUCCCUAGUACC